rnacentral:rRNA from 1 species
UACGUAGGGUCCGAGCGUUGUCCGGAAUUAUUGGGCGUAAAGGGCUCGUAGGCGGUCUGUUGCGUCGGGAGUGAAAACUUACAGCUUAACUGUGAGCGUGCUUUCGAUACGGGCAGACUUGAGGCAUUCAGGGGAGAACGGAAUUCCUGGUGUAGCGGUGAAAUGCGCAGAUAUCAGGAAGAACACCCGUGGCGAAGGCGGUUCUCUGGGACGGUACUGACGCUGAGACGCGAAAGCGUGGGGAGCGAACAGG